AGUGAACGCUGGCGGUAGGCCUAACACAUGCAAGUCGAACGGCAGCACAGUAAGAGCUUGCUCUUACGGGUGGCGAGUGGCGGACGGGUGAGGAAUACAUCGGAAUCUACUUUUUCGUGGGGGAUAACGUAGGGAAACUUACGCUAAUACCGCAUACGACCUACUGGUGAAAGCAGGGGAUCUUCGGACCUUGCGCGAUUGAAUGAGCCGAUGUCGGAUUAGCUAGUUGGCGGGGUAAAGGCCCACCAAGGCGACGAUCCGUAGCUGGUCUGAGAGGAUGAUCAGCCACACUGGAACUGAGACACGGUCCAGACUCCUACGGGAGGCAGCAGUGGGGAAUAUUGGACAAUGGGCGCAAGCCUGAUCCAGCCAUACCGCGUGGAUGAAGAAGGCCUUCGGGUUGUAAAGCCCUUUUGUUGGGAAAGAAAAGCAGCAGGUUAAUACCCCGCUGUUCUGACGGUACCCAAAGAAUAAGCACCGGCUAACUUCGUG
rnacentral:rRNA from 1 species